UACGGGGGGGGCAAGCGUUGUUCGGAAUUACUGGGCGUAAAGAGCUUGUAGGCGGUUUGUCGCGUCUGCCGUGAAAAUCCGGGGCUCAACCCCGGACUUGCGGUGGGUACGGGCAGACUAGAGUGUGGUAGGGGAGACUGGAAUUCCUGGUGUAGCGGUGAAAUGCGCAGAUAUCAGGAGGAACACCGAUGGCGAAGGCAGGUCUCUGGGCCACUACUGACGCUGAGAAGCGAAAGCGUGGGGAGCGAACAGG
rnacentral:rRNA from 1 species